AUUGAACGCUGGCGGCAGGCCUAACACAUGCAAGUCGAGCGGAUGAAGGGAGCUUGCUCCUGGAUUCAGCGGCGGACGGGGGAGUAAUGCCUAGGAAUCUGCCUGGUAGUGGGGGAUAACGUCCGGAAACGGGCGCUAAUACCGCAUACGUCCCGAGGGAGAAAGUGGGGGAUCUUCGGACCUCACGCUAUCAGAUGAGCCUAGGUCGGAUUAGCUAGUUGGUGGGGUAAAGGCCUACCAAGGCGACGAGCCGUAACUGGUCUGAGAGGAUGAUCAGUCACACUGGAACUGAGACACGGUCCAGACUCCUACGGGAGGCCGCAGUGGGGAAUAUUGGACAAUGGGCGAAAGCCUGAUCCAGCCAUGCCGCGUGUGUGAAGAAGGUCUUCGGAUUGUAAAGCACUUUAAGUUGGGAGGAAGGGCAGUAAGUUAAUACCUUGCUGUUUUGACGUUACCAACAGAAUAAGCACCGGCUAACUUCGUG
rnacentral:rRNA from 1 species